rnacentral:rRNA from 1 species
AGAGCGAACGCUGGCGGCAGGCCUAACACAUGCAAGUCGAGCGCCCCGCAAGGGGAGCGGCAGACGGGAGAGUAACACGUGGGAACGUACCCUUUGGUUCGGAACAACACAGGGAAACUUGUGCUAAUACCGGAUAAGCCCUUACGGGGAAAGAUUUAUCGCCAAAGGAUCGGCCCGCGUCUGAUUAGCUUGUUGGUGAGGUAACGGCUCACCAAGGCUACGAUCAGUAGCUGGUCUGAGAGGAUGAUCAGCCUCACUGGGACUGAGACACGGCCCAGACUCCUACGGGAGGCAGCAGUGGGGAAUAUUGGACAAUGGGCGCAAGCCUGAUCCAGCCAUGCCGCGUGGAUGAUGAAGGCCCUAGGGUUGUAAAGUCCUUUCGGACGGGGAAGAUAAUGACGGUACCGUAGAAGAAGCCCCGGCUAACUUCGCGCCAGCAGCCGC